rnacentral:rRNA from 1 species
UACGGAGGAUGCGAGCGUUAUCCGGAUUUAUUGGGUUUAAAGGGUGCGUAGGCGGGAUGCCAAGUCAGCGGUAAAAAUGCGGUGCUCAACGCCGUCGAGCCGUUGAGACUGGCGUUCUUGAGUGGGCGAGAAGUAUGCGGAAUGCGUGGUGUAGCGGUGAAAUGCAUAGAUAUCACGCGGAACUCCGAUUGCGAAGGCAGCAUACCGGCGCCCUACUGACGCUGAGGCACGAAAGCGUGGGUAUCGAACAGG